CAGCAGCCGCGGGAAUACGAAGGGUGCAAGCGUUAAUCGGAAUUACUGGGCGUAAAGCGUGCGUAGGCGGUGAGUUAAGUCUGCUGUGAAAUCCCCGGGCUCAACCUGGGAAUGGCAGUGGAUACUGGCUCGCUAGAGUGUGUCAGAGGAUGGUGGAAUUCCCGGUGUAGCGGUGAAAUGCGUAGAGAUCAGGAGGAACAUCAGUGGCGAAGGCGGCCAUCUGGGACAACACUGACGCUGAGGCACGAAAGCGUGGGGAGCAAACAGGAUUAGAUACCCGAGUAGUCCCUGUCUCUUAUAC
rnacentral:rRNA from 1 species